rnacentral:rRNA from 1 species
UACAGAGGGUGCGAGCGUUGUCCGGAAUCACUGGGCGUAAAGGGCGCGUAGGUGGCGCGACAAGUCAGUGGUGAAAGUUCGACGCUCAACGUCGAAUCGGCCACUGAUACUGUUGGGCUUGAGCACUGUAGAGGCUAAUGGAAUUCCGGGUGUAGCGGUGGAAUGCGUAGAGAUCCGGAAGAACACCGGUGGCGAAGGCGGUUAGCUGGGCAGUUGCUGACACUGAGGCGCGACAGCGUGGGAGCAAACAGG